UACAGAGGGUGCAAGCGUUAAUCGGAUUUACUGGGCGUAAAGCGCGCGUAGGCGGCUAAUUAAGUCAAAUGUGAAAUCCCCGAGCUUAACUUGGGAAUUGCAUUCGAUACUGGUUAGCUAGAGUGUGGGAGAGGAUGGUAGAAUUCCAGGUGUAGCGGUGAAAUGCGUAGAGAUCUGGAGGAAUACCGAUGGCGAAGGCAGCCAUCUGGCCUAACACUGACGCUGAGGUGCGAAAGCAUGGGGGAGCAAACAGGG
rnacentral:rRNA from 1 species